CCUCUUGGAAACGAGCAAUUGAAAAUAUAGAUACGUAUAAUAAACUAGUACUCACUCUGAUAAAAAUACUUGUCGAUUACUCCAUAUAUAUUAAAAAUAGAUGUUCAAUAAGAAGUUUAAAAAUUUAAUAACAUUAAAUAUGAUUUAUUAAUUUAUCUAAUGUAUUUUUUAAGCAUUAAAUUUAUUAUAUUUAAAGAGUAUGGUAAUAUUACCACUAUCAUUUACUUCUUCUUAAUUCAUGUGCCAAUAGAAAAGUGGACGAGUAAAGAUGGACGGAUAAAGUAUUUAGUAUCAAGGGUAAAUAGGAUUAUCCAUUGAGUUUAUAAACUAAACAAGUAUUGCAGGAUAUUCCAAAAAAGGAAAGUGGACAAGUAAAGAUAGACGAAGGCAGAGGUGGAGCCAAAAUUUAUACUGAAGGGGUCCGAAAUCUGAAGAAAAACUCACCGAAGGAGGGAUCAACAUCGAUAAUAUAUACAUAAAUAUCAUUCACUAUAUAUGUAUUAAGAAUAUAAUUUCUUGACGAAAGGGGUUCGACCGAACCUUCUAUUACUAGACUGCUCUGCCUCUGGACGAAGGGGGUACUAUUCAUUGGCAGGACAAGGGAGUACUAUUCAUUCUCCAAUGCGUUUCUCAAACCAUUAAUUUAUUAUAUUCAAAAAGUGAUUUCGUAAUAUUAUCCUUAUUACUCUCUCCGUCCCAAAGAGUGUUAUAAAGCAUAGUGUCGCGUAAAAUGUAUGUAAAGCAUAGUGUUGUGUAAAAUGUAUAUAAAGCAUAGUGUCGCGUAAAAUGGGACAGAUAUAGAUAUUGCAAGUGCACAUGGUAAACUUUCUGUUGGAAAAUGUAAAGUACUACUCUUUCCGCCCCAAAUUGAGAUGACACAUUGAUUAAGAAAAAUAAUAAAUAACAUGGUUAAUUUAUCAUAGUACCCCUAUUAAAUGAUGUUUACAUUUUAAUUUAAAGAAAAAGUAAUUAAUGCAAAGGGUAAAACAUGAAAAAAAAUUGUCUCUUCUUGAUUAAUAGGAAAAGACAAGUAAAAUGGGACAUCAAAUUAAGAAAUUUGGGACGAGUAAUUUGGGACGGAGGGAGUAGUUAACAAUCUCAUUAAAAGAAAGGAUAUACAUGGAAAAAAGUCACAAACAAAACAAGUGAAAGUUAACAUUUAUUUUUAGUACGACGAACAAGUGAAAAAGAACGACGGAGUGUUAUAAAGCAUAGUGUCACGUAAAUGUAUAUAAAGCAUAGUAUCGCGUAAAAUGUAUAUAAAGCAUAGUGUUGCAUAAAAUGUAUAUAAAGCAUAGUGUCGCGUAAAAUGGGACAGAAAUAGAUAUUGCAAGUGCACAUACCAAGUUCAAGGCAUUCUUGACUAUUUUCAUGUCGUCGAGGCUGAUAGUCCUGUGCACAAGUCUCUUAGGGGUAUGCCCAACCCCAGCUCCUCCUUUCAUCGGUGUCUCUGUGUCCUUUAGAAACAAAAUGGUUGCCAAAAACAUAACAGCAUCCACAACCGUAUACCAAAACACCAUACACAAAAACCAAAAAUAGUAACAAAACCGCCUCAAAAAUCCAGGAUCAACCUUUUCUUUUUUGGUACUUGAAGGUAUAGUAGGCAGUGCUUCUGGAUCCGAAGCUUUUCGAGUGCAUGCCAAAAUUAAAGAGAUAAUGGAUAUGCCAUCACCAAUUGAAUGAUGCAAUUUUAGUAUCCCAACUCCUUCUGCUUCGGAUGUUUUCACGUUCAAAAUGUGUACCUCCCAAAGUGGCUUUGUCAUGUCCAAGGGUGUUGUUGUUAGACUUGACGUGUAGUUCUCCAAGAAUUCGUCAGGUGAAUCCAUGUCAGUGUCCAAAUCCGGACAUAUUAUAUGAUCUUCUACAUUUACUCUCGUUUUCACCCACUUCCUUAUUCCUUUCUUUUCAUCCACCACCUUUUAUAAAACAAACCAAAAAAAAAAAAAAAAAAAAAGAAAAAAAAAAACAAAGGGGAAGCAAUGGAAAUUGACAGCUGACAAUAGAAAAAUGAUUAAUAUAGCGGUGCAUGCGAGCCAUUAAUGGAUUGUAGAUAAGUUUCUGUUGUUGCAAACAUGGCAGACCAAAACUGCAUAAAAAAUUAAGACAUGUUCAUUGAAUGCUCUCCCAUCCUCUUGGAAACGAGCAAUUGAAAAUAUAGAUACGUAUAAUAAACUAGUACUCACUCUGAUAAAAAUACUUGUCGAUUACUCCAUAUAUAUUAAAAAUAGAUGUUCAAUAAGAAGUUUAAAAAUUUAAUAACAUUAAAUAUGAUUUAUUAAUUUAUCUAAUGUAUUUUUUAAGCAUUAAAUUUAUUAUAUUUAAAGAGUAUGGUAAUAUUACCACUAUCAUUUACUUCUUCUUAAUUCAUGUGCCAAUAGAAAAGUGGACGAGUAAAGAUGGACGGAUAAAGUAUUUAGUAUCAAGGGUAAAUAGGAUUAUCCAUUGAGUUUAUAAACUAAACAAGUAUUGCAGGAUAUUCCAAAAAAGGAAAGUGGACAAGUAAAGAUAGACGAAGGCAGAGGUGGAGCCAAAAUUUAUACUGAAGGGGUCCG
rnacentral:lncRNA from 1 species